GAUAACUAUAAUUAUUAUUCUAACUAAAUGAAAAAUAAAAAUGUAUAAAUUAAAUACAAACUUGUAUUAAAUUUACAUAAUAUAUAAAAGGUAUAGUGUAUAAAAUUUACCUACCUACUUCGUGAGGUUUACCGUGAAGGUUACUGGUUGCAAACAGUCUUAAAAUUUUAAUAAUUAUAAUUUUAAAUUGUAAGUGGAGUGAAGAAGCUUAUGGUUUUAGAAUGAUGUUUAUUUUUUAUUAUUAUUUUUUUUUUAUAUGUGCGCUAUUUUACUAACUGAAAUCUUGUUCUGAUUUUUAAGUGUAGCAUAUUUUCUAAAAGAAAAUCGGCGUGGAGAGAUAAUUGGGUCAUUUUUCAAUUAUCUCAAAAGUAUCUCAUGGAAUGUAAAAAACGGGAAAACGUACAUGCCUAAAAUAUUACGAUUUUUGUGGACAACAUUUCUAUCAGCAAUUUUACUCAGAUUUACAAUGAAAGCAUUUUUUCUAAAAAGAAAUCUGACUGGGGAGGUACUUUAAAGAGGUCAUUUUUCGAUUUUCUCAGCAAAUGUGAAAAACCAGUAAAAAUGAAAAACGAAAAAAUCGGUACAACAUUAAAUAAAUAUUAAAGAAAAUAUAUAAAGCC